rnacentral:rRNA from 1 species
GAUGAACGCUGGCGGCGUGCCUAAUACAUGCAAGUCGAGCGAACAGACGAGGAGCUUGCUCCUCUGACGUUAGCGGCGGACGGGUGAGUAACACGUGGAUAACCUACCUAUAAGACUGGGAUAACUUCGGGAAACCGGAGCUAAUACCGGAUAAUAUAUUGAAUCGCAUGGUUCAAUAGUGAAAGACGGUUUUGCUGUCACUUAUAGAUGGAUCCGCGCCGCAUUAGCUAAUUGGUAAGGUAACGGCUUACCAAGGCAACGAUGCGUAGCCGACCUGAGAGGGUGAUCGGCCACACUGGAACUGAGACACGGUCCAGACUCCUACGGGAGGCAGCAGUAGGGAAUCUUCCGCAAUGGGCGAAAGCCUGACGGAGCAACGCCGCGUGAGUGAUGAAGGUCUUCGGAUCGUAAAACUCUGUUAUUAGGGAAGAACAAAUGUGUAAGUAACUAUGCACGUCUUGACGGUACCUAAUCAGAAAGCCACGGCUAACUACGUG